rnacentral:lncRNA from 1 species
GAGCUCAGAGCGGGAGCGGCCAGGAACCCGGGCUUCUGCUGCGGAAGGCUCGGUGCUCCGCGUCAGGGCCCGGGAGGGGGACCUUCAUACAGCCAGAUACCCAGAAUUGGGGGAUCCCAGGUCCCAGACGGCGGGGGACACGUCUGGGGCAGUUGAACAAUUCCGCGCGGCUAGCAGAACUGAGGAGAGAGGUGGCGGCGCGUCUCUACACCGCAGGUCGCCGCGGCGCGGGUCGGGAGUACAACCGCCGCCCCUCCUCUCCUGAUUGCGGGGCUGCGCCCGGGACCCCGGCGGUUCACCCCGCCCCGCCGCCCCUCACAACAUCUCCCGCUGCAAAUGGCCCAAUCAGAAAACGUGACGAGAGAACGCCAGCCAAUCAGAGGCUGCUGACUCAGGCUUCCCUCCACCCUUUGCCCCGCCCCAGUAGGAAAACCCACCCACCCUCGGUCUCCCCUUCCUACCCCGCCCCCCUCCGGGGAGGUGGCUCACAGCUCCUGUCCUCGUGGGGCAGAAGUGGAGGACCCCGCCGAGGCGGCGCGGUUUGUCACCUCACACUUAUCCUCGUCUCCUCCCAGACACACCCCUCCUCAUUUUCUCAGUCCUCCUGCUGGUGCCGUUGAGGGUCAUUUUUUUUCCUCGUGCCAGCGGGGGACUGCCAGCUAUUGUGUCGGAUCAGCUGCCACCACCCUUCGGCGGGGGGGUGGGGGGGGGAAUCCAGAAGCUUUGGGGUCUUACCUUUUCCUUUCUUUCUUACCACUCUGCCCCAAAAGAUUUAGACACCUCCGCACUCCACCCACCCCGCCCUCCCCACGCAGCUCUCAAUUCGCUGCCUGGGUCCUGUUUUUUGUUGAGAAAAAACAAAAACUACUCCCUGGAGCCUGAAUACCUGUGCCUUCGUUUUUA